rnacentral:misc_RNA from 1 species
GAAAUGCGAUAAGUAGUGUGAAUUGCAGAAUUUAGCGAAUCAUCGAAUCUUUGAACGCACAUUGCGCCCCUUGGUAUUCCAUGGGGCAUGCCUGUUCGAGCGUCAUUUCAACCCUCAAGCACUGCUUGGUGUUGGGCGUUUGUCCCGCCUACGCGCGUGGACUCGCCUCAAAGUCAUUGGCGGCUGUUCCCCUUCGGCUCGUAAGCGCAGCACAGUCGGCGCCCGGAGCUCUGGUGGGAUGGCGUCCAGCAAGCUAUAUUUUCAGGCUUGACCUCGGAUCAGGUAGGGAUACCCGCUGUACUUAAGC